rnacentral:misc_RNA from 1 species
GUGAAUCAUCGAAUUUUUGAACGCAAAUUGCACUCUCUUCUGUUAUAAUGCCUGUUUGAGUGUCAGUAUUAAUAAAAAUCGGCGGGUUUCCCUUUUGUUGCGUGCCUGAGUUUUUUUCAUCUUAUAACAACACCCUUUCAGUGUAUUUUUAAGAGGCUUAAAAUUGACCUGUUUUGUACAUUUUGUACGUACAUAAAUUUUUUUUAGUCGUCUAUCUUAAUGCUAAAUCUCUAUUAUAUUCGACCAUGUCGUGUGUUUCCGUUGCUAUAAAGUUUCCAUGAUUUGACCUCA